rnacentral:lncRNA from 1 species
CUUUCAAUAUGUUAAGAGUGUUAUAUGAUGCAGUGCUAGACCAGGUUUGCAUCCUGGUUGAUGCAGCUUUUUUCCUUCCCUGCAACAAUGCUCUGUAUAGCACACACACUAAGGGACGUGAAGACUUCCGGACAUCAGCAGUGUUUUCCAAUUGCACAAGCGCUGUGGUAUCAACUAAUAAAGUGCUGGAGGGCACUUUAUGCAACAAGAACUGCCAAAUGGAAUCCCACUGUUAA